GGAGCUUCAGUUGAGGAAAUGCCUCCAUGAGAUCCAACUUCCAUAGGUGGAAAAUAGAAGCCCACUGCUGCUGUCGUUUGCAUCACUGGAGCUGAUGAGCCUGGGUUUGUUUUCAGAUAUUUGAAGCCACGCAUGUAACUUUUUCUUGAGAAAUAACUGGCGCAAGCCCUUCACACACUUAUCGGUGGAAUCUUCUCUUGCUGUCUGUAAUGAUUUCUUCAGAUAUUACGAUUAUUAAUUCCAUUUCAUAUUAUUAAUAAAUGGGCUCUUUAGUGUUGCAUGGC